rnacentral:rRNA from 1 species
AACGAACGCUGGCGGCAGGCUUAACACAUGCAAGUCGAACGCCCCGCAAGGGGAGUGGCAGACGGGUGAGUAACGCGUGGGAAUCUACCCAGAUCUUCGGAACAACUGAGGGAAACUUCAGCUAAUACCGGAUACGCCCUACGGGGGAAAGAUUUAUCGGUUCUGGAUGAGCCCGCGUUGGAUUAGCUAGUUGGUGAGGUAACGGCUCACCAAGGCGACGAUCCAUAGCUGGUCUGAGAGGAUGAUCAGCCACACUGGGACUGAGACACGGCCCAGACUCCUACGGGAGGCAGCAGUGGGGAAUAUUGGACAAUGGGCGAAAGCCUGAUCCAGCCAUGCCGCGUGAGUGAUGAAGGCCUUAGGGUUGUAAAGCUCUUUCAGUGGGGAAGAUAAUGACGGUACCCACAGAAGAAGCCCCGGCUAACUUCGUGCCAGCCGCCGCAGUAA